AUAAAAACAUUAAGAAAAUAAAGUAGAAGAUCCAGUUUUCAAAUCGAGGUGAACUUUUUUCCAAAGUCUGCACUCUUAUUUAUGGAUAUAGUGUAGACAUCCUGGAUCAGAACUUACAGACUGGAUGACAUUUAUCACAGGAUAUUUGUAUUUUUGUCUCAUCCACAUCUUCAGACACUAAUCCGGCAAUAGGAAUGAGUGUCGCACAGUGCAAGGCACGUAAUAAGCAAAAAACUCUAGGAAUUAAUUGAAAACAGGGAAUCUCUUACUAUCAAUAUCCUGGAUGUAUUUCUCUCCUCUUCAAAGAAACGAAGCACAUAUUACUCAAUAUGAGAUUAUUGACAUCUGACAUCUGACAUCUUUUGUCAAAUGGAGAAAGACAUUCCAAUUAGCAGAUUCAACAGUUUCCUGAGCAAUAGCUGCAUAUCAGAUAACCAAGUGUACAGAAGUUUGCUCCAAAAUGUCUGGUUUGGGAAAUGCAGUUUGAGAAACCACCUGAUGACAAUUUACAAUGGUCAAAAUUUUUUCAAAAGCUCUGACUUCUCUGCACAAGGGAAACAUACAAGUUAAAUAGUCAUCUGAUAGAAAUCACCACCAUCUACCUUUCUCAGAUGGAUGUCCUGGCAUUUGAAUCUCAUUGAAUGUGGUCCACCUUUGUGUGUAGUAUUUAGUAAAUUACCAAAGUGUAACAGCCACCUCCAGCUGCUGGAAAUUGCACAUUAAAGUCAUAAUGCAAACAUAUAGAAAAAUUUGAGUCAAUCUCCUCUUGCAUCAAACUUUGCCUUAGUCCCUAGGAGCACGCUGGAAUCUAUUUCUGUUAUGGGUCUAGGGACAAAGAAGAGUAAUGAGAGUGGGCCUUGUAGAACAUAGAUACCUUAUUGCGAAGUGAGGUCAUUAUGAGGCGUUUAAGCAGUAAAAGAUAGCUCCUCAGAAGAAGAAAGAUCAGGCUUCUUUCACUGCUGGCAGAAGAAGACUUAGGGCAACUUAAUUGUUCAAGAUUCUCAGGUUCUUCUGACUGCAAUUAAACGUCUCCAAUCCAAACUCAGAAACUCACUUUACAG
rnacentral:lncRNA from 1 species